AUGCCGAUCAUGGUUGGACGACCAGAGCCCAGAGCUCAUGGGGAUGUGGGUUCUCCGAUGUGGUUGGUCUUCCCCUUGUUCCGGUCAUGGAAGUGGGGUAGGGGUUCCCGGGGAUGUGAAAGGAGGUGCCUUUCGGUCCCGUCCCACGGUGGCUGGUGGCCUUGGUGUCGGGUAGCGGUACGAGUGGGCGCGGGAUCCUGGAUGCCAGGGCGGCGGCCUUGGAAGGUGGUCUGCAAGGGCAUCUUUCUCACGACGAUUGAAGGCCAGGCAACUAAUUACCAGCACUGCGUCGUUGCAGAUAUGCCAGGUCUGGAUGAUCUUUGUCGAUUUGCGACAUCAUGA
rnacentral:rRNA from 1 species